UGGGGGAUACUGCCUGCCCAGUGAUAUUAACAUUCAACGGCCGCGGUACCCUGACCGUGCAAAGGUAGCACAAUCACUAGUCUUCUAAAUAAGGACCAGUAUCAACGGCAAGACGAGGCCCCAACUGUCUCUCCCCUCACAAAUGAACCUUCUCUAAUCGUGCAAAAGCGAUCAUAAAAGCGCAAGACGAGAAGACCCUAUCGAGCUUAAGAGAGGGUUAACAAGGCCUAACAGCCUCCCUGCUGACCCAACAGCCCCUGGACCAACUCUAACUUCACGUUCCCCUUCUCCCCCCCCUCAUCCCCCUCCCUUUGGUUGGGGCAACCUCGGAGCACCCACACUCCCCGAAUUAACCCAGUUCAAGACCCCUAAUCGAAAAUUAGACAACCUAAUAAACCAUGACCCAGAAAACCAACUGACCACCGGACUAAGUUACCGUAGGGAUAACAGCGUAAUCUCUUCCUAGAGCUCACAUUGACGAAGAGGUUUGCGACCUCGAUGUUGGAUCGGGGCAUCCUGAUGGUGCAGCCGCUAUCAAGGGUUGGUCUGUUCGACCAUU
rnacentral:rRNA from 1 species